AGCUGGGCAUAUAAAAGGUAGACCUGGCUCUAACACCUCAUCUGUUCCAACUCCCUCAACAAGUCUGUGGUCCUGUGUGUGUGACCCAGGUUGGAAAAGUCACAACAAGAUGUCCUGCCAGCAAAACCAGCAGCAGUGCCAGCCACCUCCCAAGUGUCCACCCAAGUGCACUCCAAAAUGCCCACCAAAGUGCCCUCCAAAGUGCCCACCCCAAUGCCCAGUGCCAUGCCCUCCUCUGGUGUCUUCCUGCUGUGGCUCCAACUCGGGGCACUGCUGUGGCUCAAGCUCUGGGGAUGGUGGCUGCUGCCUGAGCCACCACAGGCCCAGUCUCUUCCACCACCGCCAUAGACACCAGGCUCCUGACUGCUGUGAGUGUGAGCCCAGUGGGGGCUCUGGCUGCUGCCAUGGCUCUGGGGGCUGCUGCUGAGCUGGCCCAGGAAGAGCUCUUGAAGGGAUCCAGUAGUCUAGUGCGGGACGCAGCCUGAUGCAUCAACUUUUCCAUUCCCUGGCUUUAAAUCAUGGAUCAGUAGGGAUCCUGAAGACUCCCAGAGAUUCCUGUGAAGAACCUUGUAGUUAACUGUGGGCUCUAUAUGCUCAGCCACCAUCUCUGUCUGUGGUUCUUGCUUUAUUUUCUCUUUUAAUAAAACUCUGAUUUUCUGUCCCCAAAA